GAGCAGGAAGUUGCAAUUACAAGAGGGCAGGGCUUCUGCAGAAGCUGAGCGGUGCUGGCUCAGAGCAGCCAGGGCUUAUCCAAGGAAGGCAUGUGGAAGCUCCCGGGACCAGGAAUCGAACCGGCGCCACAGCAGUGAGCCGAGCCACUGCAGCAAUAAUGCCAGAUCCUUAACCCUCAGCACCACAAGGGAACUCCUCGACUGCUUCUUAACUUUUCAAGAUAAUUAUCAUUUGGGAUGAAGUUUCUUACUCUUGAAUCAGAGCCAAGGGACCUUUUUUUUUUUUUUUUUCAGUGUUUAAGGAAGAUUUUUCAAAUAUCUCUCGUAGGUUCCAACUUCAACUCAUUUUAAACAAAAUGUACGAGAAGCCACAAAAUAUUUGAAAUGUGUAUUUCAGUAAAAGAGAAUCCACUGAGUCCUGCGGGCCAGACAGCACAGCCCCGAGGAGACUGGGCUUGCAGAAAGCCUCCCUGUCAGAGAUCUGCCCUGAGCAUGUGUGGGGUGGGCAGGGGGUGGCAGGGGGCGGCGGGGGGUGUCUGCUGUGGACCGAGUGUCCUCUGGGGACCGCAGCCCUGCCAGCGUGGCCGGCCACAUGCGUGCGCUGCUUUGCUUUCCAAACCACCAGCCCAUGGGAGCCAAGGGCUCAGGCUCCCCAUUCAGAGCCUGUAAUGCCCACUGAAGCGAAACAGGAAGGGAAACCAGCGUUCAGAGCAAAGGGUUUCUCCCUCCCGUGACCCUGAAAGAGAGCCAAUGGCAGGCUGCAGGGCCGGGGCCAAAGGCUUCGGCAAAAAUCACCCAGCCGAAGGUUCUGCAGCCUGCUGGAGAGCCCGCUCCCCUCAGAGUCAAGAAAACUGCCCUGGAAUCCUGCGACAUGCCAGCCGUGAUUCCGAGGUCCACCCUGAACCUCGGUGUCCUCGUCGGGACCAGGGCUGGGGCUGAUGGGGUGCGUGACGGGCCUGCUCGCUCCAGUCCUCUUCCCUGACCAGCUCCUCCUUGUUCACUUCCUCCAGAGCCCCUCCACGAAGCCUCCACGCACCUCUCUGAAGAGUGACCCAUACCUCGUCACCCACUGGCUUCAAGAUCGCCACUGACCCCCCGCCUUUUCCUGCAAGGAGCACCGCAGCCUGCAGGGUCAGCUCCAUCCUCCGGAGUCCUCCGGAUGCAGCCCGGCCUGAAGUCCUUCCUGAACACCUGUCGUCAGGUACCCACCGGGGCUCUUCCCUGCCCCUCCCCUGGGGCCCCUCCCCUCUUCUCUCGGCUUGAGUUCCCCACCCUGUGCACAAACUCCCAAAGAGAGAGCGGUAGUGCCCACGGCUGGAAAAGGAGCAGGGAAGGCAGACCAUGGAAGGCAUGUCCCCUGCAGGGAGCAGCACCUGCACCUACCAUCGGGGGCGUGGCUGCUAUAGUCGCCCACCACCCCCAUCAUCUUUAAGGCCCCUCUCCCCAGGAAGUCUGGUUUCCCAGACCCCAUGCUCCCGGGCUGGUGGAAGCCCCCUGCCCCAGGCUUGCCUCUCUCCUAGAACUUACCAUACGGCCCCACAAUGCACUUGUUCAUCCGCCUCGCCUCUCAUCUUUCCCUGCUCUGCUUCUGUGCUGGCAGCUGCCACAGCACCGAGGCUCAGGUCGAAGGAAUGAAUGAAUGAAUCGGAGGGAAGGAAGGAGGGGAGGGAGGCGACUUCCGUCCCGUAGUGGGCACGCAGAGGUUCUUUUUCUGUCUCUUCUUAAGGACAUCUGGCCCCGACAGGACCCUCCCUGCCCCUCUAGGCUCCAAGGCGCUGAGGAUCACGAGAGUGCCUGUCUGUCCAGUGGUGUCCCCCUGCCACAGCUGUCGCCCACCCACCUUCAAGCAGAAGCAGAGCAGAGGGUCGAGUCUCUGUCGCAUCAGCUUUAGAUUCCCGCCUCCCUGUCCUGGGCCGCUCGCCACACCUUCGUCCUGGCGGUUCCCGCCAGCUUGUUCACAAACCGAAGGCCUCGGGUUUCUCUCCCCAGACUGUCCCAGCGUCCCCUUCAGAGAGGAGGCUGGCGUCUGAAGUCCCCCGUCCCAGUUGGAAUUAGCCGCUUCGCCCUGGAAUCUAGCUUGCUCCCCUGGGUCUGUCACAAAUAGGGACCCGGCCGAAAUGUGUCAUCAUGCAAGACAGUCCUUCCUGGAACUCAAUCUGAGUGGCUUUUUGCAAAAACAGGAGACGAGCAGACAACAUCUUUCCCAACCUUGAUAACCACGUCAAGACGGGGCUCAGGCACUCCUGACCCUCCCCCAAUUAAAUAACCUCAAUUCCUUUCCUCAAAAGGAUCACCUGGAGCUCCCGUGGUGGCUCGGUAGUAACGAACCCAACUAGCAUCCCUGGCCUUGCUCAGUGGGUUAAGGAUCCAGUGUUGCCGUGAGCUGUGGUGUUGGUGACAGAUGUGGCUCAGAUCUGGCUGAGUCUGAGCUGCAGCUUCAAUUCAACCCCUAGCCUGGGAACUUCCAUACACCAUGGAGCAGAGGCGCAGGGGUGAGACAUCCUGGAGGCCAGCUGGGAGGAGGCCUGUGCUUCCAGGAUGGGGCCCGGAGAGCAAGUCUUCAGUGCAGGUGGCCUGCUUCUCUCAGUCAACCAUGGGGACUGCUUAGAGGCUUGGAGCAGGGGAACAGCAGGGUCCCCGUUUUGACCCUGGGAUAUAAUGGCUCUGGCCUCAGUUGUAAUUGGGUCCGCGCUGUGUCCUUACGUAGCCAAAUGCCACCCUCCACGCCAAACUGUCACUCUUGUCUCAUUCCACCUUGCCCUCACCACAGGUCUGUGGCAUCACCUUUCUGAUGCACACAGACAACAGUCAACGGAGGGGUGACUUUUCUAGCAACUGUGCAUAUUGUGUUUUUGCUUGGUUGCAGCAUGACAGUGGAAUCUCUCAUAAUCAGCUUCAACUGGUUCCAAGCCAGGGGACCCCCGGGCACUUGCCCAGGAUGGUUGGAGUUCACGCCGGCUUAUGCUGCUGUUCUUGCUGGUGAAUGGUGUCCCCCGCUUCUCUCACAAAUGUCCUGCUUUGGAAAAUAAGUCAUAUGGUUACCUGACACUUUAUGUUUGGAAAAUUGAGGCUGGGGGCUGCUGUACUCUGUGCAUUUAUCCCCCAGGGGGCCCUGUCCAUGGGCUUUUUGGAGGAGAGCAGAGACUGGACCCCGAGUUUUUUAUUGCUUAGCCUUGCAAAUGCUGGAUGGGGUGGCCACGGGGUGCAAAUUUCCCCUUUGCUCAAGAAUUGGACAAAACCCCAAGAAUACAAAGAGCUAUGUGCCCCCAAAUUCCUGGGAAGCCUCCAACAACUGGGGCGGACUUGGAGGCAGCAUAACCCCUCGGUGACUCUCCAGCACCCCUGCACCCUUACUGCCAGCCUAGGGGAGAGCAGGGAGGGGCAGGUCAGCCCUGGGGGGCCCGAGCUCCCAGUGAGAGGCUCCCCCUCUCCUCCGGCCUCCAAGAGCAUCUCUGCUGAGGCCAGGGGUGCCUGGCCGAGCUCAAACCCCACUCCCAGGGCAGAUGUCUGCUCAGGACGCAGGGAGACGGGAGUGGCUGAGACCUUUGUCUUCAACUGUAAUUUCAAAAACAGGGCAAAGUGACCUUCGGGGCUCCUUUCUGGCAAUAGCAGAUUGUGGGCCCAUGAACAUGACAGAUGCCAUGUCCAGGCCUCAUAAAGUAACAAGCCCCUGCACCAGGAUCCCAGGCAGUGUCCACACGGCUCCAACUGGGACUUUCACCUGCCGCCUCUGGCUACUUUUCUUCCCCAACCAGAUGCUCAUUAAUCCAGUCAGGUGUGCUUGGCUGGAAGCCCAGGGGACUGAGGCACCAACUGAUGGGUCUUUCGCUGGAACUGCUGAAGGGCACGCAGCACCUUUUCUUCCAAAGUCCGUCCGGCCUGGUCCCCAGUGGGUUUAUUGACACCUGGCUUUAAGCUUUGGUGGCAAACCGUCUCCUCGGAGUGCGCCUUCAGGACACAGAGGCUUCGGAUGCUGACGUGGAGACCUGAGUGCACAGGGGACAGGGGAGGCUGCCAAGGGGGCGGCAGCUCAUCCUGGCAGUUCUCUCCCCGGCCCGGGGCUCUCAUACCUGGCCGGCAUCAGAAGCCCCUGGGGGGCUUGCAGGAGCACACCUCCCCGGGGCUUCUGAUUCACCGGCCUGGAUGAGGUCUGAGAAUCUUCACCCGUGACCGUCCCAGUGGCACUGAUAUCAUGGUCCACGCUCGGAGAGCCUCUACCCUGGUGUCCUAGUGGGGGCAGGGCCAUCUGCCCCCUGGACAUGGCCCCACCUGCCAGGCCCGGUCUGUGAUGAAAGCUCCCCUGGCGGGGCCGCCGCAGGGGCUGCAAAGCUCAAAGGAUUCGACCAGGAGGCAGCCCAGCCUGGUGCUUGUGGCUCUGAAGGGGAGACUCUGGGGAGAGGGGGCCCAGGUGGGCCAGGGGAGAUUUUAGCAGAAGUGACAUUUGAGAUUGGGGACAAAGAAGGACCAGGCCACGAAAGGAGGAUGAAGGGAGCCCCCGAGAGCAGGAUGGACAGAAGCAAACCCCCACCCCGCACGGGAGAGAACUCUGUGGAGCAGCAAGCAGGUCGGUCAGGAGUGCUGUGACAGGAGCAGGGGUGACAGCUCAGGCGGGACAGCAGGUCGGUCACAACCUGCCAGGACUGCAGGACCGUCAGAAUCUGGACAUCAUCCCGAAGGCAGGGCAGCUGGGAAGGGGCAGAGGCUUGGGCUAAUAUCCGAUCCUGGGCCCCAGGGGGCUGAGACUUCCCAGAGGGAACAGCCCUCGGAGGGGCCCGGGCUGGGGAUCAGGGAACAGAACUGAGGCGGGAAGUGGGGGUGGGGGGAGGCGGGCUGGCUUAACAUUGAUUUCUCACAGUUCUGGAGGCAGGAAGUCCAGGAUCACGCCAUUGGUGGAUUCAGUGCCCGGUGAGAGCCCUCUGCCCCUGGCAGGGUGGCAGCCAGCUCCUCACGUAGGGCAGGGGGGAGGAGCAAGCUGUCUGGUGUCUCUUCUUAGGAGGACCCUGGUCCCAUCAGGGCGGCCCCUCCCUCACCGCCCCAUCUAAUCCCUGUCACCUACCAGAGGCCACCUGCAAACACCCACACACGGGGGUUAGGGCUUCAACACAUGAAUUUGGAGGAGACACCAUCAUUCGGCCCGCGGCAGGGGGGUGGGACAAAAUUCCAAGCUGGCGUUCACCUAAGUUUCCGAAGGGCUUUACAUGGGAGGGAAAAAAACAAAAAAACAGCGCUAUCUAAGAAAACUGGGGCCGUCUUUGAGAAGUUCUGCGCUGCCUUCGCUCUAUUCUGGUAAACUGCGGGUCACCUCUAAAUACAGUUUUCUUCCCAGAAGCAGACUCAACAGAGGCACUGUCGGUUAAAAAUUAAACAGCAAAACGCAACUCAGACCAUGUGAAGGUCUUUUUUUAAAAAGUAAUCGCAGAAAGCAUCUGGUCUCGUGCCCUGAAGGUCGAGAUCCAUUCGGAAAAGGUCACAGUCUGGGCUCAGCGGUGGGUGUCUCGUAGUCUAGCUUUCCCCCUCCCCAGGGUUCCUCGAGCAGCAAACCUCUUCCAGGACACACGGGGGCCUCCUCGCCCCGUUCCUUCGAUCUGGGGGGAUCUAGAGUCAUUAGUCUCUUGUUUUAAAAGGCGAACCAGGGACUGCCCAUCGCGUCUCAGUGGGUUACAAACCCGAGCAGCGUCCACAAGGAUGUGGGUUCCAUCCCUGGCCUCGCUCAGUGGGUUAAGGAUCUGGUGUUGCCACAGGCUGUGGCGUGGGUUGAGGAUGCAGCUCGGAUCCCACGUGGCUGUGGCUGUGGCAUAGGCUGGCAGCUGCAGCUUCGAUUCUACUCUUAGCCUGGAACAUCUAUAUGAAAAAAAAAAAAAAA
rnacentral:lncRNA from 1 species